AACUUCCGGCCUCUCUGUCUCCGGAGGACCGACUCUGUAGUCACGUCCCUGCGCACGCGCACACAUACGCACAUGCUUUUCUUCUCGGCCCCGCCCUGUCCGUCUCUCCCCAGCCUUUGGAGCGCGCAGAAAAUUAAGCUCUGGCACGUUUUUCUUUUUGCCAAGGUGGAGAAACUGAUGCCUGGAAGGGAUCUGUGACUUUCCCAAGAGCGUGCAUCUUUCACACUCAAAGUCUCAAACUAUCUCCCCACGGAUUAAUCUUUGCAAGAAGAAACGGUAACUUUACAGUGGAGAAACCUGGCACGCACCCCGUUAACUAAGUAAUCAAGUUAACUUGCCCAGGAGUGAGACAAACUGACUCCUUAUGCCUCCUGCUAAUAUUGAGGACACAGCAGCACUGAGCAUUUGAGAACCAUGCUCAGACAUCUGCCUCCCAGACCAGAGGUGAGCGCCUCAAAGAAAGGGGUAAGAACCGAGUCAUCAGGACUUCUCUGGUGGCGCAGUGG